rnacentral:misc_RNA from 1 species
CUGAAGAAGCCCUGAGGAAGACAAGAUGGCAAAAUGCUAGCACAGCAGAGCGGCUCCAGGAGGAAUUUAAACGGCUCACUGUCCAAAUGGCAUCAACUUUUGAGGCUAAUGAAAAAUUGGCUAGCAAAGCAAUGAAUGAAGCUAACGAAUUCCGCUUAAAGAAAAUGCAUCUUGAAAAUAUGCUCCGGAAAUCAUCUGAGGAGCUUCAGUCAACCAAAGACCAUCAUGAAGCAAGGAUUUUUGAG